CAGUAUAUAGCAACACAAGGGCCUGUAUCAAAUACACUUGUUGACUUUUGGCAGUUAAUUUGGCAGGAAAAGUCCACUAUCAUUGUCAUGAUUACUAAUAUCAUAGAGGAAGGAAAAGUGAAGUGUCAGCAGUAUUGGCCUAAUUCAGAUACAAAGGAUUAUGGACCAUUCAGUGUAACAUUAAGUGAUGAGCAAGUACUAACAGAUUAUACUGUUAGAAAAAUGCAUGUUAAGUUAGUAGAUUCAAAUGAUCAACCUCCAUUGAUGAUCACACAA